rnacentral:rRNA from 1 species
AUGGCUCAGGAUGAACGCUAGCCACAGGCUUAACACAUGCAAGUCGAGGGGCAGCAUGAUCGAAGCUGCUUGAUGAUGGCGACCGGCGCACGGGUGAGUAACGCGUAUCCAACCUUCCCUAUAGUAGAGGAUAGCCCGGCGAAAGUCGGAUUAAUACUCUAUGUUUUCCAAUGCAGACAUCUAAGUUGGAACAAAGGUUCACCGCUAUAGGAUGGGGACGCGUCUGAUUAGGUAGUAGGCGGGGUAACGGCCCACCUAGCCGACGAUCAGUGGGGGUUCUGAGAGGAAGGUCCCCCACAUUGGAACUGAGACACGGUCCAAACUCCUACGGGAGGCAGCAGUGAGGAAUAUUGGUCAAUGGGCGAGAGCCUGAACCAGACCCAAGUAGCGUGCAGGAUGACCGGCCCUAUGGGUUAGUAAACUGUCUUUUAGUACGGGAUAAAGUGAGGGACGUGUCCCUUUUUGUAGGUACCGUAUGAAUAAGGACCGGCUAAUUCCGUGCCAGCCGCGGC